rnacentral:rRNA from 1 species
UAGGGAAUCUUCCACAAUGGACGCAAGUCUGAUGGAGCAACGCCGCGUGAGUGAAGAAGGUUUUCGGACCGUAAAGCUCUGUUGUUGGUGAAGAAGGAUAGAGGUAGUAACUGGCCUUUAUUUGACGGUAAUCAACCAGAAAGUCACGGCUAACUACGUGCCAGCAGCCGCGGUAAUACGUAGGUGGCAAGCGUUGUCCGGAUUUAUUGGGCGUAAAGCGAGCGCAGGCGGAAGAAUAAGUCUGAUGUGAAAGCCCUCGGCUUAACCGAGGAAUUGCAUCGGAAACUGUUUUCUUGAGUGCAGAAGAGGAGAGUAGAACUCCAUGUGUAGCGGUGGAAUGCGUAGAUAUAUGGAAGAAUACCAGUGGCGAAGGCGGCUCUCUGGUCUGCAACUGACGCUGAGGCUCGAAAGCAUGGGUAGCGAACAGGAUUAGAUACCCUGGUAGUCCAUGCCGUAAACGAUGAGUGCUAAGUGUUGGGAGGCUUCCGCCUCUCAGUGCUGCAGCUAACGCAUUAAGCACUCCGCCUGGGGGAGUACGACCGCAAGUUGAAAC